rnacentral:rRNA from 1 species
UACGUAGGGGGCAAGCGUUGUCCGGAAUCAUUGGGCGUAAAGAGCGUGUAGGCGGUCCUGUAAGUCGGCUGUGAAAGUCCAGGGCUCAACCCUGGGAUGCCGGUCGAUACUGCCGGACUAGAGUUCGGAAGAGGCGAGUGGAAUUCCCGGUGUAGCGGUGAAAUGCGCAGAUAUCGGGAGGAACACCUAUGGCGAAGGCAGCUCGCUGGGACGUUACUGACGCUGAGACGCGAAAGCGUGGGGAGCAAACAGG